UGAACCUACGGGAGGCAGCAGUGAGGAAUAUUGGUCAAUGGGCUUACGCCUGAACCAGCCAAGUCGCGUGAGGGAAGACUGCCCUAUGGGUUGUAAACCUCUUUUGUCAGGGAGCAACGCCGGCUACGUGUAGCCGGACUGAGAGUACCUGAAGAAAAAGCAUCGGCUAACUCCGUGCCAGCAGCCGCGGUAAUACGGAGGAUGCGAGCGUUAUCCGGAAUGAUUGGGCGUAAAGGGUGCGCAGGCGGUCCUGCAAGUCUGGAGUGAAACGCAUGAGCUCAACUCAUGCAUGGCUUUGGAAACUG
rnacentral:rRNA from 1 species